rnacentral:rRNA from 1 species
UACGAAGGGGGCUAGCGUUGCUCGGAAUCACUGGGCGUAAAGCGCACGUAGGCGGAUUGUUAAGUCAGGGGUGAAAUCCUGGAGCUCAACUCCAGAACUGCCUUUGAUACUGGCGAUCUUGAGUCCGGGAGAGGUGAGUGGAACUGCGAGUGUAGAGGUGAAAUUCGUAGAUAUUCGGAAGAACACCAGUGGCGAAGGCGGCUCACUGGACCGUGGUAUACGCUGCGGUGCGAAAGCGUGGGGAGCAAACAGG